rnacentral:snRNA from 1 species
GUGCUCACUUUGGCAGCACAUAUACUAAACUUGGAAUGAUACAGAGAAGAUUAGCAUGGCCCCUGCACAAGGAUGACACACAAAUUUGUGAAGCGUUCCAUAUUUUU